AUUAAAAGCCAUACAAAUUCAGUUUCAAUGCUAAAUACUCUCCGUUUCAGAAACGAUGGACUUUUCCGCAAUGACACUCACUCAGAUCAAGAGGCAAGAGAUGGACGCACAGGUGCUGGUGCUGGAGCUGGAGACCCGACUGCAGAAAGAGAGGGAGCGACUGGGUGAACUGAGGAAGAAGCAUUACGAGCUAGCUGGCGUCGCAGAGGGCUGGGGAGGGGAGGAAGAGGGAACGGGUUGAGACUCAUCGUGUUCUGUGCAGCAGCCCUACAGAAGGGGUGCUUGACAUCUUUAUAUACACAUUAUCUUUCCCUUCUCCCUUUUUAUUGUACUUUUUAACUCUUUUGAUUUCUUUAUUGUACGUUAAAGCCAAAUAAAAGGUGCUUUUUUUCUAACUUGCUCCUUCCCCGGCCCGUGGAGGCUGGAGACUUGAGGAGUGUAAUGGUAUUGUGCGACGAAGGGGGAGGGAGAGAAGGAAGUGGAUGGGACACCACCUAGUGGACAGAGAGGGAAGUGCAGGCUCGCUGAACUGUCUGAGUAUUUCAUGUCCUCUUCCUCCUCAUACGGAAUGGAGAAUCUUUCCCAUCCCCGACCAUUUCGAACAAUCCCGUCUCUCCGUGAAACAUCCCAUGAUGCAUUGCACAAGGGUGAGUCGCCCCAUUUUGCAGGAUAUGACACUGUGCUGUGAUUCUUCCGGACACAACUUUUACAAACAGCAGCAGUGUGUGACUUCCACCUCUCAAACACAUUCCUUAAUGUCGCGUAGGAUUGCCCUCAUCUGGGUCCGUCCUUCUCUAGUCCCCUAGCAGUGGUCACUGGACUAAAAAGAGUGCUUUGGACAUAAGAGCUGAUGACCUACUGUGGACUAACACCUGAAAACACUAGCAAACUCAGUCGAGACUCACUUUUUCUGUAUUUAGUUUUUUUUUUAUGUUAAGCUUUACUUUGAUUAUGUUCCCGAGGCAUUCACUUUAUAAGAAACCCUAAAUAGAUUUAUUCCACUGGCUUUUUACUGUUCCACCAUGUUGACUUAUAGGGACAAAACUGCUAAAUAGCUCAUCUAACGUAUGAUAUUUCAACAAAACUGUGUCCUGAUGCGUUUCACCAGUUUCAAGUCCAUGACUGAAUAUGAACUGACUGUUUUUGUGAGACCUCACGUCGGGCUGGAGCUCAUUGUUUUUGUUUAAUAGCUCUAUUUAGAUCUUAGUUAGUUCAGCACAAAUAGAUAUGGCACCAUAUUGUAUUAGUAAUGGUCCAUAAAACGGUCCAGUACGGUUUACACGCUGUUAAUACGACAGUAUCUGUUAAUUCCUGUUGUCUUCUUCCAGCUCCACAUAUGCGCACCCCUUCACACUGAGGCGAGGAGAGACGUCCGUGCCUUUCAAAAGGGAAAAAGGGUCACAUUCCCUGAAAAAGACCUUUAAAAUCGUGAUCUGAGUAGCAUUAGGACAGUGUUUUAAAGUUGUAGUUUGGUAUUGUGAACGGAGAUCAUGAAAUCAGUAGAGUGUGGUGUGAGAACAGAUGUAGCCAUCCCUGUGUUCAACUCUGGUGUGUUUCAUUUGGAUUUUUGAGCUUCCCUUUUACAACUGGAUAUCUAAAAGAAAGAAGAAAUGGUACGGAGCCC